rnacentral:rRNA from 1 species
GAUGAACGCUGGCGGCGUGCCUAAUACAUGCAAGUCGAGCGAACGGACGAGAAGCUUGCUUCUCUGAUGUUAGCGGCGGACGGGUGAGUAACACGUGGAUAACCUACCUAUAAGACUGGGAUAACUUCGGGAAACCGGAGCUAAUACCGGAUAAUAUUUUGAACCGCAUGGUUCAAAAGUGAAAGACGGUCUUGCUGUCACUUAUAGAUGGAUCCGCGCUGCAUUAGCUAGUUGGUAAGGUAACGGCUUACCAAGGCAACGAUGCAUAGCCGACCUGAGAGGGUGAUCGGCCACACUGGAACUGAGACACGGUCCAGACUCCUACGGGAGGCAGCAGUAGGGAAUCUUCCGCAAUGGGCGAAAGCCUGACGGAGCAACGCCGCGUGAGUGAUGAAGGUCUUCGGAUCGUAAAACUCUGUUAUUAGGGAAGAACAUAUGUGUAAGUAACUGUGCACAUCUUGACGGUACCUAAUCAGAAAGCCACGGCUAACUACGUGCCAGCAGCCGCGGUAAUACGUAGGUGGCAAGCGUUAUCCGGAAUUAUUGGGCGUAAAGCGCGCGUAGGCGGUUUUUUAAGUCUGAUGUGAAAGCCCACGGCUCAACCGUGGAGGGUCAUUGGAAACUGGAAAACUUGAGUGCAGAAGAGGAAAGUGGAAUUCCAUGUGUAGCGGUGAAAUGCGCAGAGAUAUGGGGAAACACCAGUGGCGAAGGCGACUUUCUGGUCUGUAACUGACGCUGAUGUGCGAAAGCGUGGGGAUCAAACAGGAUUAGAUACCCUGGUAGUCCACGCCGUAAACGAUGAGUGCUAAGUGUUAGGGGGUUUCCGCCCCUUAGUGCUGCAGCUAACGCAUUAAGCACUCCGCCUGGGGAGUACGACCGCAAGGUUGAAACUCAAAGGAAUUGACGGGGACCCGCACAAGCGGUGGAGCAUGUGGUUUAAUUCGAAGCAACGCGAAGAACCUUACCAAAUCUUGACAUCCUUUGACAACUCUAGAGAUAGAGCCUUCCCCUUCGGGGGACAAAGUGACAGGUGGUGCAUGGUUGUCGUCAGCUCGUGUCGUGAGAUGUUGGGUUAAGUCCCGCAACGAGCGCAACCCUUAAGCUUAGUUGCCAUCAUUAAGUUGGGCACUCUAAGUUGACUGCCGGUGACAAACCGGAGGAAGGUGGGGAUGACGUCAAAUCAUCAUGCCCCUUAUGAUUUGGGCUACACACGUGCUACAAUGGACAAUACAAAGGGCAGCGAAACCGCGAGGUCAAGCAAAUCCCAUAAAGUUGUUCUCAGUUCGGAUUGUAGUCUGCAACUCGACUACAUGAAGCUGGAAUCGCUAGUAAUCGUAGAUCAGCAUGCUACGGUGAAUACGUUCCCGGGUCU